ACUGGGAGUAACAAGAGGGAAACGUUACUGAUAAUAACUGGAUAAGUUAGUAUAUCGCAUGAUAUGCAAAAUGAAAGCUACGGCACUAAAGGAGAGCUUUGCGUCCUAUUAGCUAGUUGGUAAGGUAAGAGCUUACCAAGGCGAUGAUAGGUAGCCGGCCUGAGAGGGUGGACGGCCACAAGGGGACUGAGAUACGGCCCUUACUCCUACGGGAGGCAGCAGCC
rnacentral:rRNA from 1 species